GAACGACGCAGGGGAAGAAUAUAACAUGGAGGGCUGCGGAGGGAACUCGGGCCUGAGAGUCCGUUAAUUUGUACAAUUUUUCGGUUCUCCGGAGGGGAGAAAAAAAAAGGGAGGGGGAGGCAGUAAGGGUCUUCGCCCUUCAAAAGGGUUAUUGGGCAAUGCUUAUUCUGAAAGGGAUGCAGACUCCUAACCAGGGUUAAGUUACCUGAGCAUUGGUAUUUUCCGUAACGAUCCCUGUUUAAAAGAAAAUCUGAGGUUCCUCAUUUGUAACAGGUGUAUUUAAAGGGCAAUGUCUUAGGAUUAGGCUCAUCAUGGUUUAUGAGAGCUUUCUUCGCCCCGUUCAGGUUGGCGGAUCUGAUUACGGGAAUCUAAUCUUUUAUCCCCUCCUUUGGCAUCAGCGUAGAUCCUAUGUAGAUCUGGGAUAUGUUCCUGCAGCGCCUUCUUCGCGUAUGCAGCUUCCGUAAUUUAUCACAUCUCCCCAAAUUAGGAAAGGCUGGUAAUGAGUAUACUUGGGUACUGAGGUACAACACUGGAAGAAACACGUGCACAUAUCAGGCGUGUGUGUGUGUGUGUGUGUGUGUGUAUAUGUGUGUAUGUAUAAAACUGCGGAGCUCGUUGCGGGAUGGGAGUGAACGAGAAAGGACUGGCGCAGUGCGUACGGUAUUUGAGAGGCUGGACGGAGAAGUGGGGAAAUGGGGUGCCGAGGGGCGGCGCUCCAGUAUUUUCGAGAAGGCCUGAUGAGAGAGUAGGGGGCUCUGUGGCGGGGGAGCGAGCGAAGCAAACGCGAGGCUUCUGUGCGGGGGAGGGGCUAAAAGGGAAAGACACGCAUGCGCACUUAAGAAAGCCAAGUUGCUAGAAAUCGGUGCCCGCGGUUAGGAGGGAGGGUGAAGGCGCGCAUGCGUACUGGAGACAACAUGGUGACGGGUUCUGCGGUAGGGAGGGAGAGGCACGCAUGCGUAUUUCUGACGGAACGACUGGCAGUCGGAGGAGGCGCGCAGCGCAUGCGUAAUAAAGGUCGCAAAAUGGCGCGGGGCUAGGCCACUGCGCUUGGAUGGAUCUCUGAGGGCUGCCAAUGAGGAUCUGUUAUUAAUCGCUAAAACCAAUAAUUUAAUCUUAGGUAUAGAUAUUGAGUAGAAAGGGUGCAGGAUUGAAGACAUGAGGAGACCAUUCUUGUGCAGUAAUCCUAGUUGUGAUCUCAUGCAAGUCUUUUUGCCUUCUCUGGGCCUUCUUUUUCUGUAACAAUAACAAUCAUACUUACAUCUCUGUAUACUAAGCUAUGUGCCAGGUAGUGGUCUUUUACAGAUUUCAUAAUUUAUUUAGUACUCUCGAUAACCUAUGAAAUAGAAGUACUGUUAUAUUUUUCACAGAUGAGAGAUUUGAAGGACAUGGAUUAAGUAAUUUGCUCAAAGCAUCACAGCCAGUUGAAUGGCUGAGACUGGAUUUUUAUCCUGGUAGUAUGGUUCCAGAAUCCUGUGCUCUUAAAGCACUAUGCUUAACCCAUCCUUUAUGAGUUGUGUUUAUUUACCUAAACCACUUAAGAAAAGAGACCUACUUCUUGCUUUUGUCUCAGCUCAUAGUACAGGGUUGGAGAGAAUUGUUGAUUUGGAGCCUAGUAGGGUGGCUGUCCUUAUCUGUUCUGCUCUUGCCUGUUUUUUGUUCUGCAGAUGGUCUAAAAUGGCUGACUUGCAGAAGGCUAGACACACCCUUCUUGUUUUGCCUUAUUUGCCAUCUGGUGUAAUGCUUUGAGGCAACCAGUCACUUGGUGCAGUAGAGAAUUUUUUUUAACGUAUUAUUAAUAUUUUGGCAGGUUGGCCCAAAUGUCCAAGAGUAAGGGAGAGGUUGUUGCCUUUUCUUUUUUUUUUUUGGAAUAAAGCAUGAACAAUGCAUGUAUUAUUUGGUUAGGGUACCUUCAUUGACAUGGAAUUAUUAUGUACAUCAAAGGUUAUGAACAUUUUUGACACUCAUUAUGUAUUGCCAAGUUCUUCCUAAAAAGAUUGUACCAAGUUGUACUCAACAUAAGCACUAAGUACUGUUUUUUUGUAAAAAAGUAUUUUUAUGGAUAAAAGCCACUAUUGUUUUUUUUUUUUUUUUUUUCAUUUCAUGGAUAAUAGUGAGUUUGGGUUCUUUUUUCCUUCAUAUGUGUCUCAACAAUUUUGUUUCUUUCAUGUGAUGGUAGUUCUUAUUGAUUUAUUUGUUAGAGUUUUAAGUUUAGUGUUUAUUAUACUAGCAAUAAUAAAGGCUAUCCCUCAGACUCUUGUAGUAUGUUGUAAAUGCCUACUGGAGGUUAUUGUUUGCCUUUUAAUUUUUAUUUUUCAGUUUUUGAUUAGCAUGGCUCUGAAAUCAUGACCAGUUUGUUUUCUAUUUUGUGAAUUAUUUUGCAUUGUUUACAUUUGAACAGCUCUUCCAUCUAGAAAUUGGAUAAAUAUUCACUGUAGCUUUGUCUGAGGAUAACCACCAACUGUGGAGAAAAGUGAUCCGUAAUUUUACAACCAGAGAUCAUUAGUGUUAAUAAAUUUGUUCAUUUCUUUUCAUUCUCUGCAUUUUUCUAUUCAGUUGAUUAUAUAUUAUAUAUGUACUAUUUUUAUAUUGCAUUUUGUGUUUAACAUUAUAACAUGUGUAUUUCCAUGUUAGACCUUCUUUGUAAUUGUCAUUUAAUGCUUUUAUGGUACUCUGUAUAGAAACAUUUUAUAGAUUUUUAGUAUUUUAAAUUAUGAUGAAUUUUUAAAUCUGUUUUGGAUUAUUUCCUUAUAGAAUUCCAUAAUUAGAAUUGUCAAAAGAUUUGAACAUUAUAGAGUUGCCAUAAUAGCUUUCCAAAAUACUAUGUCAGUUUUUUUCACCCAUUUAGAUAUUAAAAAUGUUUUCUGUUCUUGCUAACUUCACAUGUAAAAUAAUAACUUUGUUUUAUGAAACAUUUCUCUGAUUUGGUGUGGCUGGACUUUCAGAUAUUACUAGCUUUUCCUUUUGUGAGUUAUUGGAUUUGGGCCUGAAUGUUACUUAUUUGUAAAUGAUAAAUGUCAUUUGUUGUAAAUACACUCCUGGUUUUUUAAUUUUUUUUUAAAGAUUUAUUUUAUUUGAAAGGCAGAGUUAACAGAGAAAGAGGGAGAGGGAGAGAAAGAGAUCUUGUGUCUGUUGGUUUACAAAUGGCCACAGCUGCUGGGGCUGGGCCAGGCUGAAGUCAGGAGCUUGGGUAUGUGUCUCCCACGUGGUGUCAGAGGCCCAGUUGCUUGGGCCAUCUGCUGCUGCUUUCUCAGGUGCAUUAGCAGGGAGUAGGAUCACAAGACUUAAACUGGUGCCUCCUGUAUGGGAUGCCAGUGUCACAGGUGGUAGCUUAACCCACUGUACAAUGAUGCCAGUACCACUCUUGGUAUAUGGUGACAGUGAAUCUGAAGAAACUUUUUUUUUUUUUUUUAAGGAUUUAUUUGAAAGACAGAGUUAUAGAGAGGUAGAGCCAGAGAGAGAGAGAAAGAGAGAGGGAGUGAGUCUUCAGCCUCUGGUUUAUUCCCCAAAUGGCAGGGCCAGAGCUGAGUUGAUCUGAAGCCAGGAGCCAGGAGCUUCUUUUCUUUUAUUUUUUUUAAGAUUUAUUUAUUUAUUUGAAAGAGUUAUACAGAGAGAGGAGAGGCAGAGAGAGAGGUCUUCCAUCCGCUGGUUCACUCCCCAGAUGUAUGCAACGGUUUGAGCUACGCUGAUCUGAAGCCAGGAGCAAGGAGCUUCCUCCGGGUCUCCCAAGUGGGUGCAGGGGCCCAAGGACUUAGACCAUCUUCUACUGCUUUCCCAGGCCAUAGCACAGAGCCGGAUCAAAAGUGGAGCAGCUGGGACUCGAACCAGCACCUAUAGAAUGCCAACACUGCAGGCGGCGGCCGCUGAAGAAACUUGUGAUUCCAAAGACAGUUGCUGUGUGGGAUACAUGUCAAUUUCUGUGUUGCCAUUUUGAGAUAGCAUUUGCCGAUCCUUUAAAUAGAUAGCAUUUUAUUUAUUUCUAACAUUUUGUUUCUCUUUCUUUAAUUUCUUUUUGUUUGCUUUUAAACGCAGAGCUAGAGGUCUUCCAUCGCAACCACCAGGAUGAGACCAGGCCGAAGCCAAGACCCUCCUCUGGAUACGGGGGUGCAGGGGCCCAAGCACCUGGGCCAUCCUGUGCUGCUUUCCCAAGCGCAUUACCAGGGAGCUGGACCAGAAGCGGAGUAGCAGGGACUUGAACUGGCACUCACAUGGGAUGCUGCUACACCACAAUGCCAGUCCCAACAAUUUAUUUAUUUUUUAAAUGUUUAUUUUCAGUUACUUGAAAGGGACAGUGACAGGGAGAGAGAUACUGAUAGAUUUAUCUUCCAUCUUCUGGUUCAUUCCCCAAAUGCUUGCAACAGCUGGGGCUAGGCCAGGCUGAAGCCAGAAGAACAGCCAGGGCUGUGCCAAGAUGAAUCCAGGAGCUUGGUACUCCAUCCAGGUCUCUCACAUGGGUGGCACGUGAGCCAUUGUCUGCUGCCUCCCAGGAGAUAUUAGCAGGAAAGCUGGAUUGGAAGCAGAAGAGCCAGGACUGCAAUCAGCACUCUGAUGUAGGAUGUGGGCAUCCCAUGAUGUGGCCCAACCUGCUGCACCAUAGUGCCAGUCCCAAGAUCACUGCCAGAGGGGUUACAACUGCCCCUUUUCUAUUCUUGGAUCCUUAAUGCAGGUGACACCAGAUGUAAUCAGAAACCAUGCCACUGGUGAAGAGGUAUAUUGAGAGCCCUGCCUGGUCAAGUGAGGUUACUAGAGAAUUGAGAAAGGUUAUCAAGUCAUUGGGGACUCUCGAUUUCUGGGCAGCCAGAAACCUUUUCCUGGGUCAAGAACUGUAUGAAGAUCUACCUGUCACUCAUACUGAGUUCACUGGAGAGCCAGGAUGAAUCACUGUUAACAGGUAUGGGUUGUUGAGAUAUCGGAGAAGCCUUGGUAAGUUGUCGUGGUUUGGGUGGGUUCCCUAGUUGGUGGUAGAGAAGAGAAGGGAAAAACAGUCAUGAUGUGGCACUUCAGCCUUCCUUUGAACAAAGGAAUACAUAACUAGUAAAUGUAUAAUGUACUAUGAAUGUUUGUUGGAUUUUUCCCCAUUAUAAUGCAAAAAAAUUGCAUCAAAUGUGAUUAGGUUAAACUAAAAGAACAGCUUGUGUUCUUCUCUCUUCUUCCCAUUCUCCCUUUUAGUACCUGCCAUUGUCUCUCAAUGUUGUGGUCAACAAUGGGGGCUGACCAAGCUGCAUGUGAGGAAGGUCAUAGAAUAUGCAAAUGAUAAUUUUCCUUUUGUAACCUUCAGUAGGUUGGACUGUGAAGGGUAUCUUUGAAAAGUUUUAGAGUCCACCAGAUCUUCAUGUGAGUGAUGGUGCAGUGGAAGAGGUGGUGACUUCUGAACGAUUAAGGAGUUACACAGAGAGAAGGAGAAGCAGAGAGAGAGAGGUCUUCUGUCCGAUGGUUCACUCCACAAUCGGCCACAAUGGCUGGAGCUGUGCUGAUUCAAAGCCAGGAGCCAGGAGCUGCUUCUGGUCUCCCAUGUGGGUGCAGUGGCCCAAGGACUUGGGCCAUCUUCCACUGCUUUCCCAGGUCAUAGCAGAGAGCUGGAUCGCAAGUGGAGCAACCGGGUCUCAAACUGGCGCCCAUAUGGAAUGGCAGCGCUUCAAGCCAUGGCGUUAACUCGCUGUGCCACACUGGCCCUGAAAAUGCUUGUGUUCAUCCUGAAGGACUUUAUAGAGAAAGACUCAGAGAUCAAACAUUCAGAAUGAUUUUAUUCACAAUGUGUGUAACACAAUAACAACACAGCUGUGCUUGAAUCAGUCAAAAUCUUGUUAUCCAUGUCUUCUGUGCAUGACUGGCAGAGUGCUAUUCAGUGGUUCUUUAGGAAAUUCAUGGGGAAAAGGAGCUAAAAAUCGGUUUAUUGUGCUGCAAAAAAUUGUGAAAUCUUUGCAUCUUUUUUUUUUUUCAUAAUCCAUGUUUUUCAUGAACUUUUUGAUGACCUCUUGUAUAAUCUUUAUGGGCCAUGUUAACUUCCAUCUCUGGAGAGGAACUUCUUUUUGUCUUGGGUCUGUCUUUGCCUUGCAUGGGUUACAAGUGAUGUGAUCUUUACAUUGUUUGCUUUUUCCUUAGCAUUGUUAGCUCUGACACUUCCUCACCAGCAUGUCUUCUACCUUAGUUAGGCUCAUAAAUGGAUAUAAUAUAGAAGUUAACUUUGGAUAUAACCACUGCCCUAACAGUCAAAGUGGGAGGCUGUGGUUUGCUAAUUUUCUAUGUCAACCCCUUAAUUGGGUUUUUGGCACAUUAGAAGGGAGCUGGAUCUGAAACAAAGCAACUAGGGCUCUGAUAAGGGAUGCUGUAUCAUGGGAUACUGGUGGUUUAAUCCACUGUGCCCCCAACACCAGCCCCUGUUGCCUUCUCUUUUAAAAACAGAGCAGAUCUCAGACAUACCCCAUCUCAUUAAAUAAACUUUAAUUUUUAAAAAAUUAGCACAUGAUAUACCCUACAUGAUUAUAAAACUUUAAUUUGUAUCUGAUACUUUGUUUCAAUUAGGGCCCUUUUAAUUGUGUGUAGUUUUACAGUGAAUUACCCUGUAGAUAGUUUUAUACAUAUGUAUUUUUAUAUUUUAGUUUUUAUUUCUUUGAUUUCCUAAAGAGAUAGAACAGAUAACAAUCUUUUUUGCAGGGCCAAGUAUUUGGUUUAGUGGUUAACACAUGUACAAACCAUAUUGUGUUACCUGGGUUGAAGUCCCAUGUUUCAGUUUCCUGCUAUGUUAAUGCAUGCUCUGGGAGGCAGCAGGUAAGGGCUCUAAAGUUCCUGCUACCCACAUGGAACACCUGGGUUAAGUUCUGGGCUCUUGACUUUGGCCUGGUCCUGCUCAUGCUAUUGAGGACAUUUGGGGUGUGAACCAACAUGUGGUAGAUCUUUCUCUCUCUAUCUCUCCUCCCACCCCACCAUGUCUUUCUGCCUUUAAAAACAUUUUUUUUUUUUUUUUUACAAAAUGUUACUUGAGUCUUAUUUUUGUUUUUCAUACUGUUGCUGAUUGAUUUGUUUGAGAGACAGAAGGGAGAGACAGCACUUCCUUCUGUUUUACUCCUGAAAUGCCUACAGUGGUAAAGUCUGGGCCAGGCUGAAGCCAGGAGCUGGAAACUCAAUCCAGGUCUCCCAAGUGAGUGGCAGUAAACCAACUAAUUGAGCCAUCAUACUGCCUCCCAGGAUCUGCAUUAGCAGGAAGCUGGAGUUGGAAAGGGCACCCAGUCACUCUGAUGUGGGAUGUGGCAUCUCAACUGCUAGGCUAAAUGCCUACUUCCUCAUACUGAUUUUUCAUCUAUCAUGUGGUAGGUAUUUUUCUCAGUUUGGCUUAUAAAUUAAUUUUUUACAAGUUUAUUUACUUUUUUUUUUUUAAAGAUUUAUUUAUUUAGAAGGCCAAGAUACAGAGUCAGGGGCAGAGAGAGAGAGGUCUUCCAACCAUUGGUUCACUCCUCAAAUGGCCACAUCUGCCGAAGCUGGGCUUAUCCGAAGCCAGGAGCCUGGGGCUUCUUCCAGAUCUCCCACAUGGGUACUGGGGCCCAAGGAUCAUUAUUUUCUAUUUACAUUUCAUGAUAAAGAUAAAAAUGUUUUCUCAUGGUUCAUAAUUCAUUUAUGCCAUUAAUAAUUAAUGUUUUCUAUUGAUCUCUUUAGUGUGUGGUAUGUAACUGAUUUUUUUUUAAAUAUUUACUUAUUUAUUUGAAAGUCAGAGUUACACAGACAGGGAAGGAGAGUCAGAGAGAGAGAGAGGUCUUCCAUCCGCUGGUUCGCUCUCCAAUUGGCAGCAAUGGCUGGAGCUGCGCCAAUCUGAAGCCAGUAGCCAGGAACAUCUUCCUGGUCUCCCAUGCGGAUGUAGGGGCCCAAGGCCUUGGGCCAUCUUCUACUGCUUUCCCAGGCCAUAGCAGAGAGCUGGAUUGGAAGUGGAGCUGCCGGCUCUCGAACUGGCACCCAUAUGGGAUGCUGGCACUACAGGAGGUGGCUUAACCCACUACACUACAGAGCCGGCCCUGUAACUGGAUUUUCUACAAGUCCAGGGUUCAGGGGGUUGUAUUAAGGCUACUUGUGAGGAUCGUAGAAUAAGGGCUUCCAGAAUCUUUUCUCCACAGUUUGUUCUCUUUUUUUUCUUUUUAAAUUAAAGAUUUAUUUAUUUGAGAGGCAGAUUGCAGAUAGAGAGGACUAUCACAUGCUGGUUCACUCUCGAGAUGUCCGCAACAGCCAGAAGUUUGCCGAUCCAAAGCCAGGAGCCAGGGCUUCUUCCAGGUCUCCCACAUGGAUGCAGGAGCCUGAAGACUUUGGCCAUCUUCCACUGCCUUCCUAGGCAUAUUAACAAGGAGCUAGAUUGGAAGUGGAGCAGCCAGGACUCGAACUGGUGCCUGUAUGGGAUGCCGGCACUGUAUCCUACUAUGCCACAGUGAUGGACUUCUGUUUUCAAUGUGACUUAAAUACCCUCUCGGCUCCUGUUUCUCUGAAUAUCCUCUCAGUUUUUUCCCUACUCUGUAUGCUUUCCACUGACAGGAGAUGGCAAAUUUUUUCUUAUAGUAUGUCAGGUUUUGUGGCUCUGGUUUCUGCCACUGUGGCAUGAGACAGUAGACAAUACUAAUUGAAGGAAUGUGCUGUGUUCCAUUUGGAAGUAUUUGACAAAAAAAAUCAGUGGGUGGGGUUAGUCUCUUAAAACCUGAUUUGUGUCCUCAUGCUGUUCUGCUUAGUUACUCUGGUCUUCCUCAUGUUCAGGCCCCUGAUUCUCCCUCUGCCUCUUAGAGCACUUUUUCACCUCCAGUCUUUGUUACUGAUUACUUGUUUUCCAUUUUUCGCAAUUUUAAGUUUCUGAGAGCAACAGGGUUGCAUGUCAUUAAUAAUAGCAUAUGCUGGGGUGUGAAAGGGAUUAGCUUGGCUGUCUGCCUUGUUGCUUCAGUCCUCAUAUAACCAGUUCCAAACAACUACAUUCCUGUUGAGGAUCUGUUCCUUGCAAUCCACAUUUCAUUGUGAGGAACGAUGCUCAUUUGGAUCGAUUUUAUUAAGUUUGUGGAACUCCACUCUAGUGUCGUAUCAUUAACGUGAUGGAGCUUUAUCUCUCUAGUUGCUGUGCAUGUUAUCUUCUACUACAGACUGCUUUUCUCAUACUCUUGUCUUCCUCUGCUCCCUUGCUACUAAAUACUUAAAUUUUCUUUUCUCACUCGUAACUUGAGCUUUUGCAACCGCUAUCUGUGUGGCUUCCAUUCCACCUCAUCUCGCUCUGCAGACUUAGUGCUUUUGCUGUUGCCAUUCAUUCACUAUGCUGCCCCAUUGUCAUUAAAUUGCGAAUCUGAUUCCCUGUGGGUUGUUGAGUUUCCUGAGACUGCAAAGAGUGAUACUAGCUGCAUGACACAUCUAGGACCUUUCCCCUUAUUGAUUGAAUACCCAUAUGCCGGAUUUCAGAAUGUUUUGCACCAUAAUAAAGUUACCUUUUAAUUCCAUUUCUCAUGAGCUUUUUGAAGUACCAUCAUGUGUACACAUGUCUGUUUUUCAAGAUCCUUUAGCAAACUACCGUAAGUAUGUUCAAUAUAAUUUAAUUGCUCUAAAAUUGGAAGGCAAUCAAAUCACUUCCAAGGCAUCCAGAAGUCUCAUAUCUGACUGUAGAACUUAACAGUCUUAUAGAUAACUCUGCAACCCUGCUCUCCAUAAAUCCUGAUUCUCUUCCUUCUGCUAACCGCUUCCUUUUCGGCUAUUUAUCCUAUUGCUGAUGGACAGUUCCUGCUUUUUUUUUUUUUUAAUUUUUUAUUUAUUUUUAUUUUUAUUUUUUUUGACAGGCAGAGUGGACAGUGAGAGAGAGAGACAGAGAGAAAGGUCUUCCUUUGCUGAGUUCCUGCUUUUUAUAGCUUCUGAUUUCUAUGCCUACUUGCAAGUUGCUCUUAAAUUUUUCAUGACUGUUACAUAGACUGUAGUGUGUUCUUUCAUCUGUGUUUCCAUUUGCUUCAGCUACUGAGUUUCUGUUUCUUCCAUUAUGUAUUGGCUUGCCAGUGCACUUUGUUUUCUGAUCACCUCAUAUUUUGAGCUUAUUUGUAGGUUCCACUUACUGCCUCUCCUUCCUUUUAAAAUAAGUUCUGCUUGCUUAUGGCCCUCAUGGCCUCUCCUCUGCAUUGCAUUCGUUCACCUUUGGUUAGUUAUCUUUUGCUAACUGUGUUUACCUGUGAUAGCCCAGCUUCAGUUCCUGAGAACACAGAUUUACUAGGCCUGUGGUAUCCAGUUUAGUGUGUAUACCAAGCCACAGUUUGUGGAUCUUCACUCUUGUAUUCUGCAGGAUUUUUUUUUUUUAUUUCAAUCUUUAUUGUUUUUAGUCUGCUUGCUUCUUAUAUCUUACAGUGUAUCCACUAACAACUGACUUCUCUAUCCUUUGUUUCAGGGGUUGUAAUUGCAAAAUCCUGCAGGAUCCAGAUGGGGUAAAUGUAUAAGAUGGUUCUUAUAUUCAUUCUCUUCCUUUUUUCUUAAAACCAGUUUUUCUCCCCUCUUUUGUUUACCUUUGAUAGAGCCCUUUGAAGGGAGAUUUCUUUAAAAUAUAAGCAAGAGUGCAAAUAUGAGGGCAACUGACUUUUAAGGGGACAGUAGUGUAUUGGGGUUGUGGUCAGUUGUAAUGUGUAGGCCUCAUUCAAAGGGGAAGGCUCUUGAUGCUUAUUGCUCAGUGUGGGCCUAGGGAUUGCUGGGAUUUCUGGCACCUACAGGAAGCCUGAGUAGCCUCAGCUUUUAAUUGCAUCAGUUGCUUUUUGCUUUAAUAGCAGAAUAUGUAUGUAAGGGCUUUUUCUUACGUCAUAAUGUCUGCUUCUUCCGAAUUUUACCUUAUUUGUAAUGAUAUCUUUGUUUCCCAUGUGGUAUAAAACAUGGGUAUAUGGCACUUAGCUGUUCACCUCAGCUUGUGGCUUGGCAGUUUCCUUCCUUUGGGCAGUCUUUAAAAGUGGGCCAUGAUUUUGAAUGCUGGUGUAUAAGUUAGAACGAAAUGGAUUUAAGAUAGAGCAUAGAUAAGAAAACUGGCAGAUAUCAAGCCGCCAUCUGACAAAGGGUAAGUAUUGUUCUAUGAAAUUUUUGUUACAGCUGGAUGUAUGUAUCAGAGUCCUUAACAAAAGUUCACGGAAAAAUGGAGUUAAAAAAGAUGUUUCUUUUGGUGCAAAAGCUUUUGAAAUCAUGCAUAGUUUUUUCGUAAUACGUACUUCCCAUGAACUUUUUAAAGGCUCUCGUAAGUAUGUCUUUGCUCCAGUGCAAUUUUAGUUCUUAAUGUGGAGUGAACAACUUCACAAGACACCAGGUGAGAUAUUGUGAGGAAACAGGCCUCCUCUAGACUAUAUUCCUCCUGUAGAUUGGUCUCUUUUGGCCCACGUGGUAUUUCUUUAGAAUCAGGUCGUUACGGACAAUGACCAAAGAGAUCAAAUGGCAGGCACACAGUUUAUUUUCACAUGCAGGCUUGAUUAGACUCAUGUCUCAAGAGUCAAGCCCCAGCCUCUGUCUUUUCCGUUUUUAUAUAUAGAUUUGGGAACAUGAUGACCCCCCCCCCCCACUUCUAUACCCUAAAUUUAGCAAGGCAGUUUCAUGGCAUUUUGAAGCGGGGAGAGCACACUGUUAUUUUAGGCCCUCAGGGAUUAGCAAAUCACAAGGUAAGAUAGUUUUACAUAUUUACAAGUUAAAAUGAGUUUACAUAGAAAGGUACUUUGUCCUGAAAUAUCAGAAGACUAGGUCUAAAUUUCCACUGAGGCCAGGUGGUGCUAGGCUCAUUUUAAGGAAGGACCUUCUGCUAUCUACUUUAUCACAUUGUGUGCUAGCCUGUUUUACUUUUUUGAUGUUACCUGCCUAGCCACUUUGACCUGCUAUUUCAGAAGAAUCUAAUUAAAGAAGUUGGUCGGCUAGUCCUUUCAGGAUUAGUGAGGGAUUUGAGGAAGCUAGCUUUAAAAGCCUUACCAGUUCUCACCCUCUCACUGUCUCUUCCUUGUAACUAAAUUUGUCAGUGUUGCUGUAAAGAGUACCUACUAUUGAACCUCUUUUUUUUUUUUUUUUUGACAGACAGAGUGGACAGAGAGACAGAGAGAAAGGUCUUCCUUUGCCGUUGGUUCACCCUCCAGUGGCCACCGGGGCCGGUGCACUGUGGCCGGUGGACUGCGGCGGGCACACUGCGCUGAUCCGAAGGCAGGAGCCAGGUGCUUCUCCUGGUCUCCCAUGGGGUGCAGGGCCCAAGGACUUGGGCCAUCCUCCACUGCACUCCCUGGCCACAGCAGAGAGCUGGCCUGGAAGAGGGGCAACCGGGACAGAAUCCGGCGCCCCGACCGGGACUAGAACCCGGUGUGCCGGUGCCGCUAGGUGGAGGAUUAGUCUGUUGAGCCGCGGCAUUGGCCUGAACUUCAUUUUUGAAGUCGAUUUGCAAUUUGGCACAAGCCUGUGCCAAUGCUUCUAUUGUGUUUUAGCUUCAUUUUCCUAACAACAUCUUGAAUUACUGAGUUGUUUAUAUCUCAGAUACGCAGCUUUUACUUGUCAAAGUUUUCAUUAUUAUGUAUCAUGGUACUAAUUUGUAGUUGUGUUGAGUCAAGUGGUGUAUUUUCAUUCUUUAUUUUGAGGGACUUUGUGCUACAUUGCAGGAUAUCUUAAAUCCCUAGCUGCUUUCCACUAAGUCUAAUAACCCCAAUCAUCAUAAGAACUAAAAAAUCCCCACAAAUUUUCACAACACUGCUCAUGAAUACUGUUUUGAAUAAGACUCAUUGUUCUAGAUAGUGCUCUUCUAUGGAUGGUAUUUCAGUUUUUGAAAAUCUUUAUUCUACUUUUCUCACCUGUUUAUAUGUAGUUUAUUUGUCGACAGGCCAUUUGAGCUUAUGCAUCCCUAAUAUCUGUUUCUUUAUUUGGGGAAAAACUUUCUUCUUCAACUUUGGCUGAUGUUUACCUGAUUCUUUGUUCUACAGUUCAAGUACCUGGGAGCCAGAGGAUCUCCUUGGCUCAGCUCAUCCUUUUUGUCUAGAGCUUUUCACUUCAGAUCAUAUCAUAAACGUCUGGCUUACUCCUUUGUCCUUUGAUUUGGUGCCAUAUGAAUGAAAACAGUUUCUUUGGCUAUGUAUUAAGUAGGAAUUUUGUGCAAUUCCCUUUGUAUGUGGUAUACACAUAACUGAUGUGACAGGUAAAUUUUACUAAGUGGAUGCCAGACAGAUAAAUAUUUCUUAAUGUUUAUAGCCUAGAACACUUUAACAUGUUAUAGUAUUCUUGUAUAUAAUCCCUACUGUAUUCACCUCUGCCUUCUAGAUAGUAACAGAAAUUGGCCUCAAAAUGAUGGUAUGGUGUAGCUUCAGAAGGUACAUAACCCAAAUUCAUAGAAAGUAGUAUAAUGGUGUCUUUCCAGGAGUUAGGGGAAGGGGGAAAAUAGGGAGUUGUAUACUAGGUGUAGGGCUUCAGUUUUGCAAGAUGACAAAGUUCUGGAGAUCUGUUGUACAACAAUGUUGAUAUAUUUAAUACUGCUGAACUGUAUACUUAAGAUGCUUUAGAUGGUUAAAAAAAGCAGAUAAAGAAUAUUCCAUUAAUCAGGCAGUUUCCACAGCCAUCAGAAUAUCCUUGCGUAUGUUAAAAUACAGAAUCUUCUGAGAAAAGGAAGUAUAUGACCCUAUUUACUGCCUUCUAGUUCUGUGUAUCAGUGUUCAGCGAAGUGGCCAAAACUGGGCCAUCAUUUGUUUUUGUUCAGCCAGUCGACAAAGAAUUGGUAUUUACAUUUUUAACAGUUGAGAAAAAUAAAAAGGAUUAUAGCAUUUUAUGACAUGGAAAUUAUAAACAAUUCAGAUUUCAGUGUCCAUGAAUAAAGUUCCAUUGGAACACAGCCAUUCUCAUUCUUUGUUGUGUAUGGCUGUUUUUGUGCCAUGGUAGCUAAGUAGAGUACUUAGGACAGACCAUAUAUCCUAUAAAGGUAAAAAUAUUUACUACUUGGCCAUUAACAAAAAAUUAGUCUGUUAGGUCCAUCUCUGACCCUUUAAAUGCCUAAUUAACAGUCUUGUCAUGGACUGCUAAGGGCUGUUAUCAUUUUGAUGGCUAUACUAAGUGGGGGGUGAUUCUCAUUUCCUUACACCCUACUGUGAAAUGUUAACUCCUUCUGCAAACUUUUUUUUUUUUAAGAUUUUAUUUAUUUUUUUGAGAGGUAGAGUUACAGACAGUGAGAGGGAGAUACAGAGAGGGAGGUCUUCCUUUCGUGGGUUCACUCCCCAAAUGGCUGCAAUGGCUGGAGCUGCGCCAGUCCGAAGCCAGGAUUCAGAUGCUGCUUCCUGGUCUCAAAUGCAGUUGCAGGGCCCAAGGACUUGGGCCAUCCUCAACUGCCCUCCCGGGCCACAGCAGAGAGCUGGACUGGAAGAGAGAGGAGCAGCCUGGACUAGAAUAGGUGCCCAUAUGGGAUACUGGCGCUGCAGGCAGAGGAUUAACCUACUGCGCCAUGGCGCCGGCCCACCUGCAAACUCUUAGUGGCUUGAAAUCCUGUUAGCAGUUUCUGGUAUUUGUAUGCUCUUCUAUGGUCAAGAGAUAGACUUGGUUUAGACUACCAUCUUAGAUCAGCCAGAGUAGGUGUAACCAACUCCCAGGGUAGAAGAAGAUUCUGUAUUUGAGUGAAGACAGUGGAAAUGUCCUGAAAGGGAAUUUUAGCUUUUUCUCUGGAAUUGGAGAUGGUUGCAAGACAGCUCUGGGAAGGUCAGCAGCAAAGAUUGCUGUCUUUCAUCUAGUGUGCUACUUCUAACAUGCCUCAGUUCCUCUGGGUCUCUGCCUCCCUGCCUUCCUCAUUGUCCGCUUAAGCUUUAGUUUGCACCCAAGCUUUUUAGCCCUCUGCUUCCUCACAGAUUCUCAGUUACUUGCAACUAAACGUUGCUUAUUGCCUCAGUGUCCUUUGCUGCACCUCACUUUCCCCAAUUCUGUCCUUGCAGGUUCAACUCCCUCUGCAGUAGGACUUAGUUUUUGCAUUUCACAGACUUUAUUCCUCAGUGUAAGAAUUCCAGUGGCUCCUGCUUGGGUUGUCACUUUUUAAGUGUUAAAAUGACAUAGCAUUUGGAUAAUAUGUCCCACAACUGUUACAUUCUGCUUUAGAUGAUGGGGCAAGCCAUAAUCUAAAAUUCUAAAAAUCUUUGCUGACUAGUCCAGCCUUAUAGUGCUCUGUUCCUCAGAAACCAUCAGGGAGGGACAGUUUAUCAUAGGCCAGUCUGUGAGUGUAGCCGCCAGUUGAUUCAUAUGUGUUCCUAUUAUAUUUUUGCAUCCUCAUCUUGACCACUUAAGUACCUGUGCCCCUCAUCUUACAUACUCAUUUCUAAAGAUGCUUCUGCCUACACUGUUAAAACUCUCAAUCAAGCAUACUGAAUUACAGACAGAUGCUGUAGACAGAAGCCACUGUAGAAACUUACCUGCCUGUUUCAGAAGCCCCCAACCUAUCUGAUGUUUUUACGCCUUGAUCACUUGAAAUUUUUCUAUUGUAGGGAUUGUGCCAAAAUUGACUGUCAUGUCCAGCAAAGGUAUUUUUACGCUGCAGUCUUGUGACAAGAGCUUUGCCAUAGUUACUGUGGGCUGUACAUCUUUGAACCUGGGUUGUGGAAGGGGUAUACUCACUCUCUACCCCACCCCCAGGUAAUAACCAGAUCAUAAUAUUUCACAUCCCUGCUGAUGGUAUGUUCAUGCAAUCUAACCUUUUAUCACUUUCUAAAUUAUGUAGGAUUUCUGGUCUUAAGAAACUAAAGAGGCUUAGUUUAAAUACUAAAUGUUUCUCAUACAGAUGCACAUAUAACAACAGUAAGGAAGACUGGGAUUUCAUAAGAAUCAUUCGAGCAGUGUGGCCUGGGCCUGGGUCCGUGGUUGCUCUAGAGAUUUAAGCAAGUGGAAUGUGUGGGCCUUUUCUACUAUGUCAUUGACUUAGUUCAGCUCUUUUUGUUCUCCUGCCUUAUCAUCUAUUUGUUAUCUCUCACUUUUGCCUUAGUCUGUCUGGGAUGCUACAACAAGUUACCAUAGACUGGCUCAUGAAAAACAGAAAUUUAUUUCUCAGCGUCCCAGAGGCUGGGAAGUUCAGGAUCAAGGUGUCAGCAGAUGUGAAGGCCUGCUUUGCCUGCCCUUGCAUGACAGAAGGGGUGAGGGAAUUGUUUGGGGUCCCUUUAUAUAUCAGUACUAGUAAUCACCUAACAAUGACCAUACCCCCAGAUAUCAUCACAUUGGUCACUAGGGUCAGCAUUUGUAUAACUUAGGAGUUAUACUAAUGUUCAGUCUGUGACAUGCUUCCUCAUGACCUCCUUUGCCAAUUGUCCUGUCUUUGGUAAGUUGCUCAGUGUCAGCUUUCAUUGCUAAUUAGGUUGUUCUCACAGUUCAUGCUCAAAUUUUAGAGUAAGAGUUUAAUUGGCCUAGCUUAGCUUUAUUUGUCCCAUGCUUUUCAUGCUUAUUAUAUGUACAAAUGAAGAACAGUGUGGAAGGUACGGAUUCAAUGAGGAUGGGAACAGGACUCAAAGAGCUCUGCGUAUGUUCAAAAGCCAGUUUUCUGGGGCCAUUGCUUUUGACUGUUCAUUUGUUGUUUCUCCUAGCCCAGUGGUUCUUCACCAAUGAGAACCGCCUAGGGAGCUAUCAGAACAAACCUAACCACUGUGAUUGUAUAGUUGGUUUGGGGUGGCCACAGGCGCAGUGUUUUUAAAGCUCUUUAACCACUGUUCAGUUUCUUCUGCUAUUAUUUGGCUUUCUCAAAUACUGUUUCUCUAUCCUUGAACUUCUGCUUACUUGUGGUACUUGUGGAUUAUAGUAUAAGGAAGUCUUCAGAAAGUUAUGAAAAAAGUUAUUUUAAAAAAACCAAUAUGGGUUUUAGAAUUUCUUUGUACCAAAAUUUUUUUAAAAAACUCUUUUACUUGUUUGUAAGGGAGAGAGAACAACAAAGGAAGAUCUGUCAUCCACUGGUUUACACCCCAAACACCCACACGAGCCAGGGCUUGGGCAGGCCAGAGCCAGGAGCUGGGAAUUCAAUCCAGGUUUCCUACAGGCGGCAGGGACCCAACCCCUGAGUCCUCACCUGCUCUUCCAUGUUAUCAGAAAGUUGUAGUUGGGAUCAGGGUUGGGACUUGAACCUUGAACCCAGGCAUUCUGAAAAGUGAUGUGGGUGUCCCAAAUGACCUCUUAACUGCUUUACUAAACAUCUGCCACAACUUUCAUUUUAAUAGAUUUAUUUUAUUUGUUUGAAAGGCAGAGUUACAGAGACAGAAGGAAACAUACAUGCAUACACACAAAGAAAUAUCUUCUGUGCUGAUUCACUCUCCAAAUGGCCAGAGUACCUGGGGCUGUGCCAGGCAGUAGCCAGGAACCUGGAACUGCAUCUAGGUUCUGUUGCCUUCCCAGGCACAUUAACAGAGAGCUGGAUUGGAAUUGGAGCAGCCGUGACUUGAACCUGUGGUCAUAUGGGACAUUAGCAUCAUAUUCAUCAGCUUAACCCAUUGUGCUACAAUGCUGGCUGUUGCCCUGACUUUUUAAAAGGUUUGUAAAAAAAUGUAUUUGAAAGUCAGAUGGACAAACACCUCCAACCUGCUGAAUCACACCCCAAAUGACCGCAAUACCUGGUGCUGGGGCAAGUUGAAGCCAGGAGACUAGAACUCAGUCAUAGUCUCCCACAUGGUUGGCAGUGACCCAAGUACUUGAGUCAUCAUCUGCUCCCUCCCGGGCAUAUUAGCAGGAAGCUGGAUUGGGAAUGGAGACAAGACUUGCAUCUAGUCAUUCCUAUUUAGAAUGCUGGUAUCCCAAGAGUGUCCUUACUGAUGCCCCUCAAAUUAGUUUUUUUAAAGACUUACUUAUUUAUUGGAAAGGUAGUUACAGAGAGGCAGAGGCAGAGAGAAAUAGAGUUCUUCCAUUCACUAGUCACUCCCCAAAUGGCCGAUCGGAAGCCAGGAGCCAGGAGCUUCUUCCAGGUCUCCCACAUGGGUGCAAGGGCCCAAGGACUUGGGCCAUCUUUCACUGAUUUCCUAGGCCAUAGCAAAGAGCUGGGUUGGAAGUGGAACAGGUGGGACUUGAACCAGCACCCAUAUGGGAUGCCAGCGUUGCAGGCUUUGCUGGCUACCCAAAUAAUGUUUUAACGUGAUUUCUUUUCACAGACCUGAUGUACUCUGGUGCCUCAUACAUUUGACUUCUCUUCCUCCAUGAUCUCCCUCAGAAGAGGCUAUGGCUAUGACAGCAUAGUUGAAGUGUGCAUUGCAGGAGUUGGCAAACAUUUUCUGUAAAGGUCCAAGCAUUAAAUAUUUUAGACUUUCAGACCACAUAGUCUUUGUUGCACCUAUUCAAUUCAGAGAGUCAACUAUGAGCAAUUCCUAAGUGACUGGAUGUAUCCAUUUCCCUCAGACUCUGGCAGCAGGGACUGGCUUUGUGGCAUAGUGGGUUAAGCUGCCACUUGUGAUGCCAGAAUCCCAUAUUGGAGUGCUGGUCCAGGUCCUUUCUACACUGCUUCCUGGUAAUGUGCCUAGGAAGGCAGUAAAAGAUGGCCUAAGUGUUUUGGCCCCUUACUACCCUUGUGGGAGACCUGGAUGGAGUUCCUGGCUAUUGGAGCUACAUUAGGAGUGAAGCAGCAGAUAGAAUCUCUCUCUUUCUCUCUCUCCCCCACCCUUCUCUAGCCCUGCCCUCUCCCCCCAUCAUUCUCUGUUGCUUUGCGUUUCAUAUAAAUAAAUAAAUUUUUUAAAUAAAAAAAAAUCUUGUAGCUGCUGGCUGUAGUUGGCCAACUCCUGUUCUAUUCCUAAACCUCGUUUAUUCUUUUUUGAUGUAGUUUAAGCUAUUGUUCUCUACUUCAUUGUAAACUUGAAUUUAAAAUCACCUUGUAAACUUCUGCUUCUAAAAAUUUUUACUUAGGGAUAUUAUAAUAAUAUUUGAUUUAUAAAUUCCUUUAGUCAGAAUUAACAUGCUUAUGAUUUUCCUCUUCCCCUUCUAUAGAUGUUUAUUCAAAUGUCUUUAAUAUUCCCAAUAAUUGAAGUUGGUUCUUAAUCUUUCGUAUGUUACUCUGUUAGGUAUUUUAAGUCACAUGUAGUCUGUAGAGAUUAGAUUUUUUUCUAUUAACUUUUUUUAAACUUUCUAUUUGAAAGUCAGAGGAAGAGACAGAAUGAGGAACCUUCCAUCCACUGGUUUACUCCCCAAGUGGCCACAAUUACCAUGACUGGGCCAGGCUGAAGCCAGGAGCUUCUUCCAGGUCUCCCAUGUGGUUGACAGCGGCCUAACCAGUUGGGACAUCCUCUGCUGCUUUUCUAGGCACAUUAGCAGGGAGCCAGAUUGGAAGUGGAGCAACUGGGACUCAAACCGGUGCCCAUAUGGAGUGUUGCCAUUACAGGCAGUGGCUUAACCUCCUUUUACCACAACGCUGGCCCUUCUAUUAACUUUUAUAAUAGCUGGUUAUUUUUCCUAGCUUAUUGCAAAGUGGAGAUGUUGUUUUUCCUAGUAUACACAUAAAGAGAUAGCAAUUCAGAUACACGAAUAUAGUCAAGAAAAGUCAUGAUCCUGUCAGUCAACUGAAGCCACUGUUAAACUGUGUGUAGAGUUCUUGAUUUUUUAGCUGCCAUUGGUGUUAUUGAGCACUUACUUGAUCUAAUUAUAAUUUUGCCAACUGUCCUCAUUUUGUGCUGAUUAAAAUUUUAUGAUCAUAAUUUGGUUGUAGGAAAUUAAAAUACUCUUCAACCAAAGAUCCUGAUUCCAUUGAUGGAUAUAUUUCUUGUAGAAAACUAAGAUAUUAGCGUUUGGGACUAGCAUUAUGGCUCAGUGGGUUACGCUGUUGCGUACAACAAUAUCCCAUAUGAGCUCCAGUUUGAAUCCUGCUUGCUCUGCUUCAAUCCAGACCCUUGAUAAUGUAUGUGUCUGGGAACACAGCAGAAGAUGGCCCAAGUAUUUGAGCCCCUGCCGCCCAUGUGGGUGACCCGGCUGAAUCUCCUGGCUCCUGGCUUCCAUCUUGCCCAACCUCAGCCGAUGCAGCCAUUUGGGUAGUGAACCAUUUGAUAGAAGACCUUUCUCUCUGUCUCUCUCUUUCUUUCUCUCUCUCUCUAUAACUCUGCCUUUCAAAUAAUUCUUAAGCAAGAAAAGGAAGGAAGGAAGCAAGGAAGGAAGGAAUUAGGAGUGAGUGUUGUGGCUCAGCAGGUUAAGAAGUUGACUCUUGGGUUGCUCAUAUUCCAUUUUGGUGUGCUGAUUUGAGUCCCAGCAGCUCAUCUGCUUCCCAUCCAGCUUCCUGCUGAAACAUCCUAGGAAGGCAGCAGAUGAUGGCUGAAGUACUUGGGUCCAUGCUGCCCUCAUGGGAGAUUUAGAUGGAGUAUAGGCUUCUGGCUUAAUUCUGAUCCGACCCUGGCUGUUUGAGGCAUUUGGGAAGCGAACCAGCAGAUGGAAGAUUCUCUCUCUCUCUGUUGCUCUCUGCCUUUCAAGGAGAUGAAAAUAAGCAAAAUAAGGGGAAAAAUUAAAUGACGUGUUAGAGGCUGCUUACCUUUCUAUUCGUAUAUCAAGUGUGAUUAAUGACCUCGCAGCUCAUCUUUUUCUUUUUUUUUUUUUGACCAGCAGAGUGGACAGUGAGAGAGAGAGAGAUAGAGAGAAAGGUCUUCCUUUGCCGUUGGUUCACCCUCCAAUGGCCGCCACGGCCGGCGCGCUGCGGAUGGCGCACCGCGCUGAUCCGAAGGCAGGAGCCAGGUGCUUCUCCUGGUCUCCCAUGAGGUGCAGGGCCCAAGAACGUGGGCCAUCUUAUGGUUUAACCCGCUGCACCAAAAAGCACACCCAUUUUUGGAAGUGAACCAAUGGUUGGAAGACUUUCGUUCUUUCUCCCUCUGUAUCUCUCUAACUCAUAAUAAAUGAAUCUUUUAUUAAAAAAAGUGGGCUCCUAUGGACAGUUCUAAUACACUAAUAGAAAGGACAGGGGGAAGAAUUAUAACCAGAAAUCUCAAAUGUGUAGUACUUAAUUUGAGUUAUGAAAGUUAGUUUUGAAUCUUGGAGAAAAAAAACAUUGUCUCUAUGACUUGGUAACAAUAUAAAAAAGUAGCUGUGUUGACUGAGCAUGUAAUGGUAUUCACAGCUAAGAUUGAUUAUAAUAAGGAAAUGAGCGUAUGCAGUCUUUCUAGGUUAGCAUUAAGGAAAAAGACAAGGUUUAGUGGGGAGGAAUCACUGUGCAGGCUUCCUUAUGCCCUCUCCCUCCCAUCAGUAGUCAGAUAGUACAUUUUUCUGCAGUAAUCAAAAUUUUACCAUGCAUGUGUUAUGUUACUGCUAGGGAAGCCCAUUAGAGAAUCAACACUCUGGGUUUUUUAUUGUGGGUUAGUCUUGUAGGCAUGUUCUGCUUAGCCCAACUUCCAUACUCACAGAAAGCAGAUGUUCAGCAGGAUCCAUCUUUAUUUUUAUAGUGUAGGCACAGUUAGGGAAAGUUUCCUGUUAGGGUGCAUUUGUGUUUAGUAAUGAAAUUCCUAGAUGCCAACCAAGGGCCCACCUUGGAAUUAUGUCUUCCCACUCAGGCAUGCUAUUUUUUGACUGUAUAACGAGAUCAAAAUUAGAGUUUUCUGUAUUUGAUCACCUUUAGAUUCUGCUUAAGGGGAGAGGUGGGCCGAUGGAGUUAGAGUGGGUUUAUGAUUUCUCUUGUGCUUGGGCCAUGCUAGUAUGUAUUGAGAGCCCUUGUCUUUUGUCAAAGAGAAUGGCCUAAAGUUAUUUAAGUUAUUUGUAAGUAAUUUUUAACAAACCCUUUGAUAUAUUGAUUAUUUACUUUUUUUUCUCCUUGUACAUAUAAUCUCUUCGAUUUAUUUUCUUAAUAAGUUAAAAUUACUGAUGUAAAUACACCAAAAUGCUCAUGUUUAUUAUCUUUUGAGAUUGGUUUGUAUAAGUAAUUUUAUUUCUUUUGAGAUAUUUUAAUGAAAAAAAAUGUUUUUUAAGAUUUGUUUAAAUGGGGAGAGACAGAGAGAGAGAGAGGUCUUCCUUCUGUUAGUUCACUCCUCAGUUGUCCCCAACGGCCAGAACUACGUUGAUCCGCAGCCAGGAGCCAGGAGCUUCCUCUGGGUCUCCCACACGGUUGCAGGGGCCCAAGGCCUUGGACCAUUUUCCCAAGCCAUAGCAGAGAGUUGCAUAGGAAGUGGAGCAGCUGGGACUCAAACCAGUGCCCAAAUGGGCUGUUGGCACUGCAGGUGGUGGCUUUACCUGCUACACCACAGUGCCAGCCCUGAAAAAGUAUUCUUUAUAAAAAUUUUCCAUGAACUUUAAAAAGAAUAUUUAUUUGGAAGGCAUAUGUAUAUAUGGUUUACUUCCUAAAUGUCUGCAGGAGCCGAGGGUGGGCCAUGCUGAAGCCAGGAACCUGGAACUCUAUACUGGUCUCUUAAGUGGAUGGCAGGGACCAAAGUACUUGCGUUAUCAUCUACUGCCUUCCCAGGAAGCUGGAUCAGAAGCAGGGUAGCUAGGACUGGAGCUGGUACUCUGAUUCAAGAUAUGGACCUGCAAGUAGCAGCUUAAUCUGCUGUGACAUACCACCCUCCCCUUCAUAAACUUUUUUUUAAAGGUUUGUGUAUUUAUUUGAAAGGCAGAGUUAAAGAGAGAGAGAAAUCGACCUUCCAUUUGCUAGAUCGUUCUCUAAGUGACUCAGCCAAGCUAAAACAGAGUCAGGAACUUCAUCUAGGUCUUCCACAUGGGUAAAAGGGAUCCAACCACUUGGUCCAUCUUCUGCUUUCCCAGGCACAUUAGCAUAGAGCUGGAUAGGAAUUGAAGCAGCGGGCCGGCGCUGUGGCUCAAUAGGCUAAUCCUCUGCCUUGCGGCACCGGCACACCGGGUUCUAGUCCCGGUCGGGGCGCCGAAUUCUGUCCCGGUUGCCCCUCUUCCAGGCCAGCUCUCUGCUGUGGCCCGGGAGUGCAGUGGAGGAUGGCCCAAGUCCUUGGGCCCUGCACCCGCAUGGGAGACCAGGAAAAGCACCUGGCUCCUGCCUUUGGAUCAGCAUGAUGUGCCGGCUGCAGCGCACUGGCCACGGCGACCAUUGGAGGGUGAACCAACAGUAAAAGGAAGACCUUUCUCUCUCUCUCUCUCUCACUGUCCACUCUGCCUUCAAAAAAAAAAAAAAAAAAAGAAGCAGCCAGGAUUUGCAUU